rnacentral:rRNA from 1 species
AUGCUCCCAAAGAAGCUAGCAGAAGUUGUAGAUGAAAGGCACUCUAGAUGUUCGCAACACACCAUGGAGUCUAGCACAAAGACCAAAGCAGAUAGAGAUGAUGUGGGUAAAGAGUGGGCUUUGUGGUUCGCUGAGGCAAAAAUACCAUUCAAUGUUGCAAGCUCAAGGCAGUUUGAGAUUGCAAUUGAGGAAUAUUGCCAAUAUGGGUUUGGCUAUAAGCCUCCUACCCCAAAUGAGUUGAGUGGGCCAUUGCUUGAUGCUCUUGUUGUAGACACACGUGCUUCGAGGAAGCAGCACGAGGAAGCUUGGAAGCAAUAUGGUUGCACACUCUUGUCAGAUGGAUGGACCGAUAGGAGAGGGCGUCACUUGAUAAACUUCCUUGUCAACAGCCCGGAAGGGACUUACUUCAUUGAAUCCUGCUACUUCUUGAGCAUGCGUUGGUUUUCCCUUGAAGAGGAAAGGGUGAUGCAGCAAAGUAGAGUAAGUAUUUCCCUCGGUUUGAGAAACCAAGGUAUCAAUCCAGUAGGAGACAGCGAACAAGUCACCGAAUACCUACACACACAAUCAACAACUUGCACCCAACGCGAAAAAGGGGUUGUCAAUCCCUUCACGGUUACUUGCAAAAGUGCGAUCUGA